rnacentral:rRNA from 1 species
UUGAGAGCGGCGGACGGGUGAGUAAUGCCUAUGAAUCGGCCUGGUAUUGGGGGAUAACGUUCGGAAACGGACCCUAAUACGGCAAACGUCCUACGGGAGAAAGCAGGGGACCUUCGGGCCUUGCGCUAUCUGAUGAGCCUAGGUCGGAUUAGCUAGUUGGUGGGGUAAUGGCUCACCAAGGCGACGAUCCGUAACUGGUCUGAGAGGAUGAUCACUCACACUGGAACUGAGACACGGUCCACACUCCUACGGGAGGCGCCAGUGGGGAAUAUUGGACAAUGGGCGAAAGCCUGAUCCACCCAUGCCCCGUGUGUGAAAAAAGUCUUCUGAUUGUAAAGCACUUUAUCUUGGGAGGAAGGGUUGUAUAUUAAUACUCUGCAAUUUUGACGUUACCGACACAAUAGCCACCGGCUAACUCUGUGCCACCAUCCGCGGUAAUACACAGGGUGCAAGCGUUAAUCGGAAUUACUGGGCGUAAAGCGCGCGUUUGUGGUUUGUUAAGUUGGAUGUGAAAUCCCCGGGCUCAACCUGGGAACUGCAUUCACAACUGACUGACUAGAGUAUGAUACAGGGUGGUGGAAUUUCCUGUGUAGCGGUGAAAUGCGUAGAUAUAGGAAGGAACACCAGUGGCGAAUGCUGACCACCUGCACUAAUACUGACACUGAGGUGCGAGAGCGUGGGGAGCUAACAUGAUUAGAUACCUCUGGUACUCCACGCCGUAGACGAUGUCAACUAGCCACUUGGAAGCCU